UGUAGCUCAGUGGUACAGCAUGUGCUUAACAUGUACAAGGUACUGGAUUCAAUUCCCAGCA
rnacentral:tRNA from 1 species